rnacentral:rRNA from 1 species
GAUGAACGCUGGCGGCGUGCCUAAUACAUGCAAGUCGAGCGAACGGACGAGAAGCUUGCUUCUCUGAUGUUAGCGGCGGACGGGUGAGUAACACGUGGAUAACCUACCUAUAAGACUGGGAUAACUUCGGGAAACCGGAGCUAAUACCGGAUAAUAUUUUGAACCGCAUGGUUCAAAAGUGAAAGACGGUCUUGCUGUCACUUAUAGAUGGAUCCGCGCUGCAUUAGCUAGUUGGUAAGGUAACGGCUUACCAAGGCAACGAUGCAUAGCCGACCUGAGAGGGUGAUCGGCCAAACUGGAACUGAGACACGGUCCAGACUCCUACGGGAGGCAGCAGUAGGGAAUCUUCCGCAAUGGGCGAAAGCCUGACGGAGCAAAGCCGCGUGAGUGAUGAAGGUCUUCGGAUCGUAAAACUCUGUUAUUAGGGAAGAACAUAUGUGUAAGUAACUGUGCACAUCUUGACGGUACCUAAUCAGAAAGCCACGGCUAACUACGUG